GGCUCGGGGAGGUAGUGACGAAAAAUAACAAUACGGGACUCAUCCGAGGCCCCGUAAUUGGAAUGACUACAAUUUAAAUCCUUUAAGAAGGAUCCAUUGGAGGGCAAGUCUGGUGCCAGCAGCCGCGGUAAUUCCAGCUCCAAUAGCGUAUAUUAAAGUUGCUGCAGUUAAAAAGCUCGUAGUUGGAUCUCAGUUACGGGCAGGUGGUUCACUUUACAGUGCUACUACCUGAACCGAACCUAUUGCUGGAUCUCUUGGGUGCCCUUCACUGGGUGCCCCUUGAGACCAGAGCGUUUACUUUGAGAAAAUUAGAGUGCUCAAAGCAGGCGAAUGCCUGAAUAGUUGUGCAUGGAAUAAUGAAAUAUGGCCUCGGUACUGUUUUGUUGGUUCACGGUGCUCGAGGUAAUGGUUGAAAGGGACUGACGGGGGCAUUCGUAUUGCGACGUUAGAGGUGAAAUUCUUAGAUCGUCGCAAGACGGACUACUGCGAAAGCAUUUGCCAAGAAUGUCUUCAUUAAUCAAGAACGAAAGUCAGAGGUUCGAAGGCGAUCAGAUACCGCCCUAGUUCUGACCUUAAACGAUGCUAACUGGCGAUCCAGUGGGGGGUAUUUAAAAUGACCUGCUGGGCAGCUUCUGGGAAACCAAAGUUUUUGGGUUCCGGGGGAAGUAUGGUUGCAAAGCUGGAACUUAAAGGAAUUGACGGAAGGGGCACCACCAGGAGUGGAGCCUGUGGCUUAAUUUGACUCAACACGGGAAACCUCACCAGGCCCAGACACUAGAAGGAUUGACAGAUUGAGAGCUCUUUCUUGAUUUGGUGGAUGGUGGUGCAUGGCCGUUCUUAGUUGGUGGAGUGAUUUGUCUGGUUAAUUCCGAUAACGAACGAGACUUUAGCCUACUAAAUAGAUAGCGGAU
rnacentral:rRNA from 1 species